CAGCCGCCGCGGUAAUGCGUAUGUCACAAGCGUUAUCCGGAUUUAUUGGGCGUAAAGCGCGUCUAGGUGGUUAUGUAAGUCUGAUGUGAAAAUGCAGGGCUCAACUCUGUAUUGCGUUGGAAACUGUGUAACUAGAGUACUGGAGAGGUAAGCGGAACUACAAGUGUAGAGGUGAAAUUCGUAGAUAUUUGUAGGAAUGCCGAUGGGGAAGCCAGCUUACUGGACAGAUACUGACGCUAAAGCGCGAAAGCGUGGGUAGCAAACAGGAUUAGAUACCCCUGUAGUCCCUGUCUCUUAUACA
rnacentral:rRNA from 1 species